AUGGGUUUGGUAUAAUGGCAUUAUGAUGAUCUCCAAAAUCAUCGACACCGGUUCGAUUCCGGUAACCCGUGCUA
rnacentral:tRNA from 1 species